rnacentral:lncRNA from 1 species
ACGGCAGGUUGUUUCCGGCCUGUUUUUUUGUUACUUUUGUUUUGUAUCUGACUUGUACGACGUUUCAAGGAAGAAGUAUUACAUUUUGCAAGCUUAAUAUUUGAGAAACUGAAAUGGCCUCAAAUCAGUAAAUGUAAGUUAAAGAAUAAACACAUUUAUAGCUCACCUGGCCCGAAGGCCUCAAAUCAGUAAAUGUAAGUUAAAGAAUAAACACAUGUUUAGCUCACUGAAUGGAAUGAAACCAAACAUGGCAUGAAUGUUCCUUAUGAGGUGCUGACCAAGUGUUGUUACUUUGUAGCCGAUCCAUCAUCCAAGAUGGCCGCCAGCAGGGGACUUAAUUUAACAUAGGACCCUAUGGGAAAUGCAUACAAAUGACUUCUUCUAGAGAACCACUGAAUGGAAUGAAACCAAACAUGACAUGAAUGUUCCUUAUGGGUUGCUGACCAAGUGUUGUUACUUUGUAGCCGAUCCAUCAUCCAAGAUGGCCGCCAGCGGGGGACUUAGUUUAACAUAGGACCCUAUGGGAAAUGCAUACAAAUGACUUCUUCUAGAGAACCACUGAAUGGAAUGAAACCAAACAUGGCAUGAAUGUUCCUUAUGGGUUGCUGACCAAGUGUUGUUACUUUGUAGCCGAUCCAUCAUCCAAGAUGGCCGCCAGCGGGGGACUUAGUUUAACAUAGGACCCUAUGGGAAAUGCAUACAAAUGACUUCUUCUAGAGAACCACUGAAUGGAAUGAAACCAAACAUGGCAUGAAUGUUCCUUAUGAGGUGCUGACCAAGUGUUGUUACUUUGUAGCCGAUCCAUCAUCCAAGAUGGCCGCCAGCGGGGGACUUAGUUUAACAUAGGACCCUAUGGGAAAUGCAUACAAAUGACUUCUUCUAGAGAACCACUGAAUGGAAUGAAACCAAACAUGGCAUGAAUGUUCCUUAUGAGGUGCUGACCAAGUGUUGUUACUUUGUAGCCGAUCCAUCAUCCAAGAUGGCCGCCAGCGGGGACUUAGUUUAACAUAGGACCCUAUGGGAAAUGCAUACAAAUGACUUCUUCUAGAGAACCACUGAAUGGAAUGAAACCAAACAUGGCAUGAAUGUUCCUUAUGAGGUGCUGACCAAGUGUUGUUACUUUGUAGCCGAUCCAUCAUCCAAGAUGGCCGCCAGCGGGGGACUUAGUUUAACAUAGGACCCUAUGGGAAAUGCAUACAAAUGACUUCUUCUAGAGAACCACUGAAUGGAAUGAAACCAAACAUGGCAUGAAUGUUCCUUAUGAGGUGCUGACCAAGUGUUGUUACUUUGUAGCCGAUCCAUCAUCCAAGAUGGCCGCCAGCGGGGGACUUAGUUUAACAUAGGACCCUAUGGGAAAUGCAUACAAAUGACUUCUUCUAGAGAACCACUGAAUGGAAUGAAACCAAACAUGGCAUGAAUGUUCCUUAUGAGGUGCUGACCAAGUGUUGUUACUUUGUAGCCGAUCCAUCAUCCAAGAUGGCCGCCAGCGGGGGACUUAGUUUAACAUAGGACCCUAUGGGAAAUGCAUACAAAUGACUUCUUCUAGAGAACCACUGAAUGGAAUGAAACCAAACAUGGCAUGAAUGUUCCUUAUGAGGUGCUGACCAAGUGUUGUUACUUUGUAGCCGAUCCAUCAUCCAAGAUGGCCGCCAGCGGGGACUUAGUUUAACAUAGGACCCUAUGGGAAAUGCAUACAAAUGACUUCUUCUAGAGAACCACUGAAUGGAAUGAAACCAAACAUGGCAUGAAUGUUCCUUAUGAGGUUGCUGACCAAGUGUUGUUACUUUGUAGCCGAUCCAUCAUCCAAGAUGGCCGCCAGCGGGGACUUAGUUUAACAUAGGACCCUAUGGGAAAUGCAUACAAAUGACUUCUUCUAGAGAACCACUGAAUGGAAUGAAACCAAACAUGGCAUGAAUGUUCCUUAUGAGGUGCUGACCAAGUGUUGUUACUUUGUAGCCGAUCCAUCAUCCAAGAUGGCCGCCAGCGGGGACUUAGUUUAACAUAGGACCCUAUGGGAAAUGCAUACAAAUGACUUCUUCUAGAGAACCACUGAAUGGAAUGAAACCAAACAUGGCAUGAAUGUUCCUUAUGAGGUGCUGACCAAGUGUUGUUACUUUGUAGCCGAUCCAUCAUCCAAGAUGGCCGCCAGCGGGGGACUUAGUUUAACAUAGGACCCUAUGGGAAAUGCAUACAAAUGACUUCUUCUAGAGAACCACUGAAUGGAAUGAAAACCAAACAUGGCAUGAAUGUUCCUUAUGAGGUGCUGACCAAGUGUUGUUACUUUGUAGUAGCCGAUCCAUCAUCCAAGAUGGCCGCCAGCGGGGGACUUAGUUUAACAUAGGACCCUAUGGGAAAUGCAUACAAAUGACUUCUUCUAGAGAACCACUGAAUGGAAUGAAACCAAACAUGGCAUGAAUGUUCCUUAUGAGGUGCUGACCAAGUGUUGUUACUUUGUAGCCGAUCCAUCAUCCAAGAUGGCCGCCAGCGGGGACUUAGUUUAACAUAGGACCCUAUGGGAAAUGCAUACAAAUGACUUCUUCUAGAGAACCACUGAAUGGAAUGAAACCAAACAUGGCAUGAAUGUUCCUUAUGAGGUGCUGACCAAGUGUUGUUACUUUGUAGCCGAUCCAUCAUCCAAGAUGGCCGCCAGCGGGGGACUUAGUUUAACAUAGGACCCUAUGGGAAAUGCAUACAAAUGACUUCUUCUAGAGAACCACUGAAUGGAAUGAAAUCAAACAUGGCAUGAAUGUUCCUUAUGAGGUGCUGACCAAGUGUUGUUACUUUGUAGCCGAUCCAUCAUCCAAGAUGGCCGCCAGCGGGGGACUUAGUUUAACAUAGGACCCUAUGGGAAAUGCAUACAAAUGACUUCUUCUAGAGAACCACUGAAUGGAAUGAAACCAAACAUGGCAUGAAUGUUCCUUAUGAGGUGCUGACCAAGUGUUGUUACUUUGUAGCCGAUCCAUCAUCCAAGAUGGCCGCCAGCGGGGACUUAGUUUAACAUAGGACCCUAUGGGAUAUGCAUACAAAUGACUUCUUCUAGAGAACCAGUGAAUGGAAUGAAACCAAACAUGGCUUGAAUGUUCCUUAUGAGGUGAUGACCAAGUGUUGUUACUUUGUAGCAGAAAAAAAAAUCAGGAAUCUAAUAAUUUGAUAAAAACAAAAGAAACCAUUUCAAGUAUAAGAUUUAUGUUAUCAAGUUUGAGACUUUUUUAAAAUGCAACUUCUUUGAAAUGUAAUAUAUUUAAGAAAUAUUUUAGUGGUAAGUAAGCUAACGUUAAAUUUUAUGGGUGAAACGGAAAGCGGGAGGGGGCCUUAAUUAAUUGAUUCGAAAUAAACAGGCUCUGAUCUUCACUUUGAUUAAAAAAUGCAGGAUGUGCCAUUUCAUUUCCCCAUUCCCCCUUUAAACAUUUCGUGAAAAUCGCACGUUUGCUGUCAAAUACAUGAAUUUAAUAUUCAGUGGGGUGAGGGGUGCCGGGGGUUGGAAUCUCUUUUUUUGGACGAUCAAUGCAUGUGAAUGUGGACAAAUAGUGGAAACCCCCUUUUUCCUGGGUUGGGAACCCCUUUCUUAAAAUGACUGGAUCCGCCCCUGAUAGAUUUGAAUUCAACUUAUAAUUAAAUUCAAUAACAAUAUAAAUGUAUCAAAAGAAUGAAUUUUCUACUUCAUUAUUGAGUGAAAUGUUAUAUAAAAAAGGAUUUUGUUCUGUUAUUGUAUAUAUUAAGACAAAUACUUAAAAAAAAUAAAAUCAUGCUCGGUCUCUGCAAGUGUUGAUCACGAUUAAUUAAACACGUGUUACUAUAUGACCAAUCGCAGCCAACCGUCCAAAAUUGAGGCCUGACAUAAGUUGGAUGAUUUUCUUCAAGAGUUGCUGCUUAUUUGGACAUGUAUUACACGAACACUUUUUAUUUAUAGGAUCAAUCGUGCAUCGAUAAGUUGAUAGGAAUUUUAUCUUUUGAUGAGAUUUGUUUCUUAUUUACAUAUUUUCUGUCUUUUUUAAUUGAAAUAUAAACGUCGGUAUCAUCAUUUCUUCACUUUCAGCAUUAUCUCAAAUUACUAUUCAUAUCCAUGCUCCAUAAAAAAGGGGGGGUAUGUAUUUUUCUAAUUAUAUUAACUAUUUACCUUUACAACACCAUCACCCAAUAUAUAUAUUUUCGUAUUUUAUAUUAAAGUCGUACAAUACUAAAUUGAAUACAACUUUUUUCCCUAUAACUAGUACGUAUACCCUCUCAACCACGACAAAACGAAAUACACUAAAUUCAUAGUAAUAUAGUCAUAGAGAACACAGCAUCGUCAAGAAACUCAAAAAAGAACAAUAUAAGGAAUUAAUGUAAAUUGUUACGAAUUAUUAAUUGUUAAUUAUUAGCAAUUGGUCGUUUUCUGUUCUUUAUGGUAAAUUUGCAGAUGUAUGGCUUUCAUUAUCAAAUUUAAUAUGGAAUCACAUUGAUUGAUUGAUUGAUUGAUUGAUUGGUGUUUGCUUAACCUCUAAAUGUUAAUAUUUCGUUAAGACGAGAACGGAUUAGCAAAAACUGAAACUCCAUGGUACAAAUAUAGUUUGUAUGUUUGGAUAAUGUCAACUUCCUGCCAGCUUAGAACGUAUUGUGAUAUUUCUGUUAUAAAAAGCAAGCUUGAGCCUAGUGUUUCGCAAUUGCUUAUUGUUAUGUUUUCAGGACCUAUUGCCAGUACCAUCAUCAACCGAUAUAGUUGUAGAGUGGCUAUGAUACUAGGGUCACUCAUGUUAUCCACAGGACUUGUCUUAACAGGCUUUGUAGAGGAUAUCAAAUGGACAUUUUUUACAUUUGGAAUUCUUGCAGGUAAAAUUAGAAAAUCGAAUUCCAAGGUAGAUUCAAUAGAAUGAGUCAAUAACACCUGACAAAAUAAAAUGCUAAAAUAUAUUAAUUGGCUCUUAAAGGUACUAGGUGUAUAAUCUAAUACGUCAGAUGUACUUUUCGUCUAUAUAAGACUCAUCAGUGACGCUAAGAUCAAAAUAGUUACGUAGCCAAACAAGUACCAAGGUGAAGAGCAUUGAUGACCCAAAAAUCCAAAAAAAUGUGCCAAGUACGACUAAGGUUAACUUACAAAACGAAUGGAUAACAAACAUUCGCAAGUACCAUGGAAACUUAUCACAAAUAAAAAGAAAUAUGCGUUUUACACCCGGAAACUAUCGUCGUGUUUCUUAGUCAUGUUAGCUACUAUCAUUCAUUUUUAUUUUUUGGUAUGAAUACGAUAACUCUUUUAAUUCUGAAAAAUUGGAACCUGUAUUCAAAAGCAACAUCAAACACUAUAAAGACAGAAAAUAAACCGCACUAAAGUUAUAUGCUUUUAUUAUUAUAUUGCAGAGUACAGGUUAAUAUUGGGACGUGAAAGUGGUGUGACACAUCAGAAUUCAGGGGUCUUUUAAAUCUUGGCACCUUAAUACAGAGAAUGUUAGUUUAGAUAAAAAAAUCGUAACGAAACGAAAAAACAGAAUCUCAAUAUUUUUAAAAAGCAGUAUGAAAUCUUUCAAAAUAUAUGAAUAUGAAACGUAUUCAAGCACAUUUGAAGGUAUCACUAACUGCGACCGAACUCAACAGAAAUCUUUAAUAGCAUACUGAUUAAGAACAGAUGUGCAGCAUCUGCAUACGAAAACUCAUAUAUUCGUCUGUAAGAAAUACUAGUAUUUGAGAGUUAAAAACUUAUUUCAUUUUUCAUUUAAGCAUCAUUUAGAAGUUCUAUAGAAACAAGAAGGCGCCUAGUUGUCAAAAUGGUCUUUAUUGCCAAUCUACUGUAUACUUAUUCUGUUGACACUGAAGUUAUUAAUUCGAACCCCGCAAGUUCUACUCUAAUUUUAAUUGACAAUAAUGGUCAGAUUUUCGGUCGUUCCAAGAUUUGUGAUUCUUUUCAUGCACUCCCAUUUCCUCAAGCAAUUAAACCUUACCGCAACAUUUUAUCAAAUAGUACUGAACAUGACAUUAAACAUCUGAAUAUUUUUUUUUCAGGAAUAGGAUUUGGGUUAUGCUAUAACACUGGAUUGAUAGUGAUAGCGUUUAAUUUUGAAAAGAAACGUAACAUGGCGUCUGGCAUAGCUAUAUCAGGUGGUGGAAUUGGACCUUUUAUUUUAACUCCUGUUUUCCAAUUAAUAUAUGAGGAAUAUAAUUAUUCCGGAUAUUUUCUAUUACUAGGAGGCCUUGCAUUACAAAACUGUGUGUUCGGUGCCAUAUUUCGACCAUCUAAAACAGAACUUGCAAUGAAAACUGCCAAUUCAAAUCGUACGGAAAGUUUCAGUGAUUCGGUGUCGUCUUAUAUGGAGAUUGUUCGGAGUGGCUCAAUGCUGUGUGUAUGUUUAGGAUUCUUCCUGGCCAAUAUUAGUAUCUAUCUACUCUACAUACAUUAUCCUGAAUAUUGUCUCCAUACAAAAUCAACGAAAAUGGACGUGUCUAUAUUUUUAUCAAUAGCCGGUAUAUCUGGUUGUGUAACAAGGGUAUUAUUUGGUAUGGCUAAUAACAGUCAUAACAUAAACGAGUUACUAAUGCUUUUUGGAGUGUUUAGUUUGUUAGGGUUUGGUACCAUAAUCUUCCCUUUAUUUAGUUCAUAUACAACGGCCAAAGUGAUGUUUGCCUGCCUACUUGGCGGAUAUUCUGGUUGUUGCUGGGCAGUUGUGAAUUCUAUAGUUAUAAAUAUUUUAGGACAUGAGAGACUCGCACAUGGUGUUGGUUAUCUCAUGAUAUAUUGUGGAGUUGGAACAUUCAUAGGACCACCUCUGGCAGGUGAGUUUUAUCUUUUAUAUUUUUUUCAUACAUAAUUUUACACUAGAUUAAGCAUGCUAAGACUAAUAAGUUUCUGAAUUUAAUAAAUUUGCAAAGUUAAAUAAUCUUUCGUUCUUUUUUGGCAGACAUCAAUGGUGUUUAAUUAAAAUUAUUUGAUCGGGUGUAAAAGAGGGACGUAAGAUACCAGAGGGACAGUCAAACUCAUAAAUCGAAAAUAAAACUGACAACGCCAUGGCUAAAAUGACAAAAGGACAAAAGACAAACAAUAGUACACAUGACACAACAUAGAAAACUAAAGAAUAAACAACACGAACCCCACCAAAAACUAGGUAGAUAUAAUUACAUCAUGUAUAUUUUUGUUUACAAUAUGACUUUGUAUUUUCUGUAUUCCCGUUAACGAAUAGCGUAAGAAAUCUUUUUUGAUAACAAGUACUGGCUUCAAGAGUAUAUUUUUAUUUGUUGUUUGAAAUCUUUAAAAUUCUACAAUAUUUUUGUUAUUUAAAAGUCUAAUAAAACUACAAUUUAAAAUUAUCUUGAAAUACUCUAUAUUUUUAUUUUUAGCCAUGGCGUUGUCAGUUUAUUUUCUAUCUCGGAGUUUGAUUGUCCCUGGUAUCUUUCGUUCCUCUAUUAUAGUUAUUUAUAACUGUGUGUGAACCCUCUUACAAUAAAUACCAAUUCUGCUCAAAUGUAUCUUAAAGAUUUCUUUUAUCUGCCAGACAUUGCCAUUUCAAAUUCAUAAAAGUUUGUGUGUUCCAACUAUAUGUAAAGCCGCAUUCACUUAGCGUGUUUGUAUGUGAUCUACAUGUAACCGUAAAUACCGAUCACCGUUUAAAUGCAUCUGACAACUGAAAUCAUAAGUUAUAAACAAUUAUAGACUCUUCUCUACAACCAAGUUCAGCCCGGAAUGAUAUCAUUCUAUUUUGUAUGUAAAUGUCUACAGGAUAUCUCCCAAUGAUAAACGAUGGUGUAGAAGUUUAUAAAUGAAACAUCAAUUUACCAAAUUUAAAGUGGACUUCGAUAACUUAGCACCCAUUCAGUAAAUUGGUUAUAUAUCAUUUUAUCUAAUAACUCGUAUUCUGUUUUGAUUACAAUGCCAUGCAGCUCUGCCUAAUUUCAGGACCUCAGAGAAAGCCUUGUUUUCUUAUAUAUAUAUGGACUGUUUCGCUCUCGUAAAGAUCACUUUCCGGGUCAAUUCUAACCCUAAAUAAAUAAAGUAUUUACCCAUUCUAGUUCUAUUCCGUUCAAGGUAAAAAAUUAAAAAAAGGUUUCUCGGAAGAGUUCCUCUAGAAAACAAAAUAUAGCAUGACUUUUAUCGGCAAUAACUUUUAAUUUCUAUCCUGAAAAAUAAUUAAAAAAAAAAACGAUGUUGCUUUUAGAGAUCUACUGGUGAUUCUGUCAUAAGCACAGUAUCAUCAGCAUACACUAGCAACAAUAAUUUAGAUAGACCGGCAAAAAUAUAUUAACCCUAUUUAAAAAAAAAGAUUCCUAAAUUAAAUCAAAUCGAAAUUUAAAACUGUUUUCAAUUUAUUUUAAUCCAUUUCAAAUCAUUUUAAUACCAGUCAAAUAUAUUCCCUUGUUGUCAUUUAAGUUGGUUAAAGAUGUGAUUAAGCUACGCAAAACCAGUUAGCCACGAAAAGGUAAAUAAGUUAAAAAUACAAAUAUUAAAAAUGUUUUAAGUUGUUCAAUAUAUGCUUUCAAUUAGAAAGGUUGGUGAUAAGAGAUAUGAAAACUAGCGUCAUCGAAGUAAUUUUGCUAAAAAUAAUAAAACGAGAAUGCUGGUUACAAAUUUCAAAUGACUUUAGAUAUGCAUAAAGCGUUAGAAAUUGUUUUCUGCUCAUUUCAUUUGCAGUUUGAUAAAUAUGAAUUUGUUCUCAGUCUUGCCAAGUAAUAGACAUUACCUGAUUUUCGAAGGACAUGUUCAUAUAAUAUUCCAAAUGACAACGAUAAGAUAUUUUGAACGAAUAAUAAUUAUCUGGUUUUUUUUUAUUUGUAAGGUGUUAUCAUUAACUAUGGUGGUACUUAUGGAGAUUCAUUCAUAGUGGCAGGUAUGUACAACUUACAAUUUUUAAUGAGAGCAAAGAAAAAUAAGGCUUAUAAAUCUUUUUUACACAACUGUAAAUUUCAGAUGUAAUCUUUGUUUUUGAAGUUUUUACAUGACUUGUAUAUGAUAUUUUUAUGUAUUUCAGGUAUUUUAUUAAUUAUGGGAGGAUUUAGUUGUCUUUGUUGUACAAUGUGCCAAGGAUCAGUGGACACCAAAGAAAGUUUUGAUGACUUUGAAUUUACUGUAACAGCUGAUGAAAAUACGCAAACUAUUCUAGCUAGUAAUAAAACAGAUGAAAAUGAUAGUUUUUUGAUUGAAGAAAUAAAAAAUGUGAAUUUCGGUAUUAGGUUUAUAAACAAACAGUA